CUGCAGCGAUGGCCCCGGGGCGCCGCACCUGCCCCGGGAGGGGUGUCGGUGCGCGCCGGUGCCUCCCCUCCCUGCGCCCGGGAACAAGGAAGCAGCUCCGACUGCCUUCAGCCAUCACUCGGUAGUUCCCUGCUGGCACCUUCCCCAUGCCCUGUGUCCUCAGGUCCCGCACCACUCAAGGCAUUGGGGUGCUGGCUUUGGACAUGACUCGGGGCACGGGAGGGCUGCCUCUGCUGCUGCUGCUGAGCCUUGCUGUGCUGGAUCUCCCACUGGAGACCAUGGCACUGCUGCCCAACACCAGCUCAAGCACUGCAGCCACCUUCCCUUCCUCUCAUCCUGCAACCUCCGCCCCAGAGAUGCCAAUGGAUGCCUUCACAUCCAGUGCUUCUACAGCUCAGUGGAGCAGCCCGGCAGCAUCCAACGUCACCACAGCACAGGCAAGGGGCAGCACAGCUCGCAGCACUCCUGUGUCACCUGGGCUGGGACCCACCACCACCAGCAGUACUCCAGCAGGGCUGGGGGUCACCACCACCAGCACACCAACUCCAGCCUCUGUGGCCAUGACACCCAACUGUGACAAGACUGCCACUUUCAUGUCUAUGGGGACCAGCACAGCCCUGGCUGUCAGCUCAUUUGGAGUUGAAAUGAGCAUGCUGCGUCCCCCCACCUCUUCUCUUCUCUCCUCCACCAGCACCAGCACCCAUCAAAGGCUAGCCAUGACCACACUGCUUGGCAGCACAUCCCCAGGGACCAGCACUGUCUCUUUUUCCACCACCUCAGAAGUGACAGACACUUCAGAUAGGCCCUUGAUGACCCCAUCAGACACCAUGGCCUUCCUUGUUACCACCACAGAGGUCCCUGGGAACACCCCUGUUCCCCGCCAGCCAGCUGGGAUCAUGCCUAGGACCAUCCCUGGUACCUCCACCUCAAGAGAACCAGAGACCCGCAGUGGCACUGCAGAGACCACUGCCAUGGGUGUGACAGCAACUGUGUCCCCAGCUCUCCCUACCUCCUCAACACCUAUGGAGAGCUCAGCACUGCUGCCUACCACUGACUCCACCACCACCACAGCCACCCUCCUUUCCUCCAGCCCUGAAACAGAAGCCUCCACCUCAGAGGAGUCCAGCACAUCCACAGAGACUGGCAACACCUCUCCUCCCACUGUGCCUUCUCCCACCACAACUACAGAAGAUUCAGCCGAGUCCUUGGCAACCCUGGCAGAUACCACAGCCAGCCCUGUUAUCAGCACAUCAGACCCCAUGAACACUCCCUCUUCAAGCUACCCAGACAGGACCACCCCUGAAAUCUUCCCCUCAACUGUGGAGUUGACUCCAGGCACUGAACCCACUUCCCCUGCCACCAGCUCAGCCCAGACCUCAGAGGCUCCUACCCUCAGCACACCUACAGACCUGCCAACGCUGCCACCAGUCUGCCCCUCUGGCUCGUCCAACACCAGUGCAUCUCACCUCUUUCUGUCUCUGCGGCUAACCACCCCUCUGGACAUGGGGAACACCACGGUGCAGGAGCUGGUGUUGUCCAAGCUCCGUGAGGACCUGCAGACAGCAUUCCCGUGUGCUGGCCUGGCACUGGCGUGGCGAGGGAAGAGGAGGACUUGACCACUGCCCCUCGCCUGGCCUGCUCCUGCCUGGAUUGCUGGGACCCCUGCUCCCAGCCCCUCACUCCAUGGUGGUACAGGCCCCUGGGGAAUCCCAUACAGCUCCUCCUGGACCUGGAGCCUCCUGUUCUUCACUCUGUACCCCGAGAGGACCCCCAGUGCCCCUCCUGCCCCGUCCCACGGCCUGUCUGAAGAGCCUGAGCCCUCCCACCACCCUGCUUCAGACCUGAUUCCUGUGGUGGGACCCCCUCCAGGUCUGCUGGGGGGCUGGGAGAAGGGAACCCCAGGGGACUGGGCUUUUACACCUGGGAGUGAGCUGGCUCAGCCAUCUAAGCCACCCUGGGGACAGAGGAAUGAGAGGAAGGAGACCUGAAACCCCCAGUACUGCUGUGCCCAAGGCUCACCUGUGAUACUGCUGAGAGAGGAGAACACCCAUGCUGGGCAGUAAACAGAAAUUCCAUAUUUUUCUGUCUUGAAGUAAUGACUUCUUUAUUUUCCAAGUUGCCUUUCCCAAUUUUCAGCUUUGCCAUGUAUUGGAAGUAGCAGUGAGGAAAACUGAGUCCCAAGACCUUUGCAUGGCUAGAUGGGCUCAGUUCUGGCUGAUGGCUCAGCACUCUGGCAGACUGGUGGUCUCUGCUUUGGGGCUCUCUGCCCCAUGGCACCCCACAGCUGCCCUGUGCACUGUGGAGCUGUGGAAAUCCCUUGGGCAGUGCUCCUUCCCUGUUUUUUCCAGUCCCCAACUAAGGAGAAGGCUGCAACAUCUGUCCCCCUGCAGCAAAGUCAUUUAUUAACUGAUUAAUUAGCCAGAUAAAAUCCAACUGAAGCAAUUAUUAGCCUAAACAAGCCACCUCACCUGGAGAUUGAAAACUGAAAUAAUUAGCAAAAUAGCCUUGUUGCGUGUCAGGGGUUGUUUUUGGCUGAUCCCUGCUUCUCACUGGCAGCCCUCACUGCCCUGGCACAGGGAGGGCUGGGAGGAGGUGUGUGGGGCUGUGGGAUUCCUAACCUGGGGACUUCUCUCAGGCUGCCUGGAUUGUCAGCUGGCUGGGAAGAAGCCAGCAGCUGGACAGGAUGGGGAGAGACACUGUGGGAUCACCCAGCUGUCUGCCAGUUCACAGGGCCUGGGAGAGGUUGGGCUGGAAGCUGUGCCUGGGCAGCUUGUCAGGAUGCUCCCAUUUGGGGUUCCCCUUGCAUUCCAGGGUGGCCCCUUUGCUCUUGAGGAUGCUGCCUGGCUUUUGUGGGCUUGUUGGACCCAUUGAGACUGAGAGAGCUCCCUUAGCAGCUGGGCAAAGAGCCGGGGAGCAGGGCAAAGCCUGUUGGAAGGGGUCCCUGUGCUGGCUGUCUGGUGGGGUGCUGGGAAAGAAAUCCUUGUGGUCUGCCUACGCCUUGGAGCUGGGCCAAGAGUCCUCCCACGUCGCGUCCCACUGGGCUGUUUUCUCCGGCUGUUGAAUCCAUAACUUCAGACCCCGGGACAUGGCUGAGUGCCAGGGCUGGGGUAAUGGAGCCAAACUGCGUCACAAAGGGAGGAAAAGGUCCUGAAGUGCUGGGAUGAAAAGGUGACCAGGGUACUCACUGUUCUCUGCUGGCACAGCUGCCUUCCAGCCUUACCGUGGUUGGGGGGCUGUGUGGGGAGGAGAUGCCCUGGUCCCCUGUCCUAGGGGGACACCCUAAACCAGGACAUCCCCUCUGCCACCAGCCUGGGAGGGACAAGAGGGACACAGUGGGAGGAUGUGGCUUCCAUGGGAGUGGUGUCACUGCCCAGGCAGUGGUGGCACAGAGCUCUGACAAGCCCCUGACACUGCCUGUAUUCUCUGUGCCUGCUGUCCUUGAGGUGCCACCUUCACCCCGUGGCUGCUUGCCUGCCACAGACUGCUGACCAGAGGGGCUUGGGAGGCUGGAUCCAAGUCCUGCUGCUUUCCCAGUCCACAAAAGAGUUCUCAGCCUCUCUGCUGUGAUACACUCCAAUCUCUCAGUAUUGUCCAAAGGAACAAAUCUUGUGCCCAGCGUGACUGUCACCUUUGGAGGACCUGGCAGCAUCAUGGGGCAUGUCUCAAGUCCCUUAUGACUCAGGUGUGCCUUCCAGUGCCCCCUUCCCUUCACCCUGCUGCUGGCUAUAGCCCAGCUCCCACUCUUUGGCAGGAGGGUGUUGCAACACACCCAGCAUGCCAAGUCAUCCAGAACCUUUGGGGUUGAUGGAUAACCUGGUUUUCCCCAUUGCCACCCCUGAGCCCUCUCCAAAUGCCCUUGCCAGGAGGCUGGAGGGGAGCCAGUAGGAGAUGCUGUGUUCUCCACAGGACUGGAACAACCAGCCCAUUAAUUCCAGGAAAGCUGAUAAGACACUGUGCUGGGCCAUGCUCUGCCAUGCUGGAUGGUGCAGAGCCCCUGGGUGCUGGGAUUAAUGGAAUUGCCCCCUGGCUACAGGCUCCUGAAGGGUUCCAGUGCCCACAUGAUGCUUUGGUAACAGCAGAUUGAUGACUCUUACAGGAACCAGCACUUUGCCAGGACCUUGGUUUCAGACAUAGCAAAAAGAUCAAUAAAAAGCCCCUUCCCAGAGUGAUAACA
rnacentral:lncRNA from 1 species